rnacentral:lncRNA from 1 species
GCAGGUGGUGAAGACCUAGCUCAGCCAUUACCUCGAUGCCCACUGGCCACCUGUUCCUUCUUCCUUUUCCUAUACCAGCCUUGGAGGCUGUAGGUUCUCUAUCACGAACCUUGAAGAGUGGUAGCUCCCUGCCAUCUUCUUGGUCUGCUGCGUUCCCCCUGUCCCCAGCAAUCUGUCCCAUUCACUGGCUUUUGCGGUGGGAAAAAAUGAAAGAAUUCAGUAGUCCUGGCUGGUGGUAUGGACCCGUGCCCUCAGUGCUACUCAGCUACUCUGGAGGCAGGAGAAUUGCGAGUUCAAUGCUUGACUACAGAGUGUGGUCAGGGGCACCCUGGGCAACUAAGGAGAGCCCUUGCUUGAGGACAAAGGAAGCAGCUGCAGCAGAAUAUAGAGAUUAGCGCUGGAUUUGGCCCAAGAAGUCACCAAAGCAGCAUGGUGGUGGUCUAGGGUGAGGCAUGGACCAGGGGCCAGGACUCAAAUCUGAAAAUAAAGGACUUCCAGGUGAAAUUGCCAGGUGUGGUGAUUUUUCAGGGGCUAGGAGGAUCUUAAAACCCGGGCGGCGGGAGGCCGAGACAAAGAGAACAUAUCUCUUUAUUUUAAACCAAGGAGCCCUUGGAGAG